rnacentral:sRNA from 2 species
AUUUAAAAUUGAUACAUAUAUUUCUUUGUUUAGGAUAGUUUAAAAAAGAAAAAGAAGUCAAAAGAUGGAACUGAGAAAGAAAAGGAUAUUAAAGGACUCAGCAAAAAGAGAAAGAUGUAUUCUGAAGAUAAACCUUUAUCAUCUGAGUCCUUGUCAGAAUCAGAGUAUAUUGAGGAGGUGCGAGCAAAA